UACGAAGGGGGCUAGCGUUGUUCGGAUUUACUGGGCGUAAAGCGCACGUAGGCGGGCUUUUAAGUCAGGGGUGAAAUCCCGGGGCUCAACCCCGGAACUGCCUUUGAUACUGGAAGUCUUGAGUAUGGAAGAGGUGAGUGGAAUUCCGAGUGUAGAGGUGAAAUUCGUAGAUAUUCGGAGGAACACCAGUGGCGAAGGCGGCUCACUGGUCCAUUACUGACGCUGAGGUGCGAAAGCGUGGGGAGCAAACAGG
rnacentral:rRNA from 1 species